GACGAACGUUGGCGGCGUGCUUAAUACAUGCAAGUCCACUGAAGCAGUGGUAGCAAUAUCGCUGUGGAGGUGGCGCACGGGUGAGUAACACGUAGGUAAUCUGCCUUCAGGUCUGGCAUAACUCCGGGAAACCGGGGCUAAUAGCAGAUGAUGCAGCGGCUCGACAUCGAGACAGUUGUUAAAGCUAUGGCGCCUGAAGAUGAGCCUGCGUCUGAUUAGCUAGUUGGCGGGGUAACGGCCCACCAAGGCAACGAUCAGUAGCCGGUCUGAGAGGAUGAUCAGCCACACUGGAACUGAGACACGGUCCAGACUCCUACGGGAGGCAGCAGUAAGGAAUAUUGCUCAAUGGGAGAAAUCCUGAAGCAGCAACGCCGCGUGAGGGACGAAGGGCUUUUGCUUGUAAACCUCUGUAGUGAGAGAAAAAAAUCCCAAUCUUUGGGACAUGAUGGUAGCUCAAAAGUAAGCCCCGGCUAACUACGUG
rnacentral:rRNA from 1 species